AGCCGCGAUAGCUCAUUACAACAGCCGUUGUUUCUUGGAUCUCUUCUCUACUUGGAUAACUGUGGUAAUUCUAGAGCUAAUACAUGCAACCAAGCCCUGAACUUACGUGACGGGCGCAUUUAUUAGAACAAAACCAUCUGGCCUCGCGCCAUCUAAUGGUGACUCUGAAUAACUGAGCCGAUCGCACGGGCUUGUCCCGGCGACAUAUCUUUCAAGUGUCUGCCUUAUCAGGUUUCGUUGGCGGUUUAUGUGACCGCCAAGCCUGUAACGGGUAACGGAGGAUCAGGGUCUGACUCCGGAGAGGGAGCCUGAGAAACGGCUACCACUUCUAAGGAAGGCAGCAGGCGCGCAAAUUACCCACUCUUGGAGCAAGGAGGUAGUGACGAAAAAUACCAAGGUCAGGCUCAUCGAGCUUGACCAUUGGAAUGAGAACAAUCUAAAUCCUUUAACGAGGAUCUAGUGGAGGGCAAGUCUGGUGCCAGCAGCCGCGGUAAUUCCAGCUCCGCAAGUGUAUUCCUAUACUGUUGCGUUUAAAUAGCUCGUAGUUGGAUCUGCGUGUUUAGCGCGCGGUGCUGCUUUUUGCAGUUACUGCGACGCGACACAGUGUUGCUUGCUGCCACGAUGCUC
rnacentral:rRNA from 1 species